UUGAGGGUAUAAAAAAUUUGUAUUUACUGUUGGAUGGAUAUGACUUAAUCUAUAGGGUAAGAACUUUUAGGGUUUAAUUGGAAGAUGUCCGAGGAAUAAAGUGUGUUUAACAUGUAUUGAAUUUCAUGAUAAUUUGAUUUUUAUUUCAAAAAUGAAAUUGUCCUUUCACUUUUUUAUGUAUUUAGAGAGUGGAUAGGGGUAAAAUAUAUCAAUUAGAAGAGAUAUCUUUCUCUUCUUCCACCGUAUGGUGGAAUAGAAUAGACUUAUAUUGUUGAGUCACACUUAUUUCUUCUUACAGUAUAUGUGAGAACUAGGCCAAAAUGGGCCUAUCUUGGAUCAAAGUUGGCAGGCCCAACCGACUGUCAUUUGAAAAUUCAAAAAAAAAGAGGAAGAAAAAAAUAGUCCCUUGCUAUUAUCUCUCCUUUUUCAGAUCAAACCAAAAGCUCCGAGUAAACUCAGGUCAAGUCUCUUUUCUUAUGUUGGUCGAUUCAGGCCGAAUAGGCCAUGCUCCUAACUGGACCUAAACUAACUGGAUUAGGCUAAAAAGACCAACUGGCCUUAUAUCGGGUAUCUCUCUUUUUCGUAUGUUGGUUGACCCAUUCCAAAUAGAUCAGGCCCUUAACUGAACUCAGACUAAGUCACUCUCUCCUUUCUAUAUCUGCUGGUUGACCCGGACCGAGCCUAAUUGCUUUUAGUUAGUCUAAUUUUCCUUAUUGGAUAAAUUAGAUCUAACCUACAAACUUUAAUUUGAUAAGGUGGAAAUCUAGAUCCGGAUAGCAAGGAGGCGUGAUCGAGACUGGUUCCAAUGCAUUCAGGUAAUCACGAACCCCACCUCCUGAUGAAAUUCAUGUGUUAGUGUUAAGUUAUAAUUAAUUGUUAAAUCCAAGGGGUGGUCGAGACUCCUAAACAUUAGGCUGGAUUCUAUAGUCUUGACAUAGACUGGAUCCUACCAAAGGAUGUUUCAAUUUAUAUUAUGCCUUUUAUAGAAGUCUAAUAAAACACUUGAUUACAUUAGGUUUUUGGAUGAUUUUCCUGAUUGGUGAAUUUCAAGAGAUUUUAGGGCGGAAAUAAUAAAUUACCUCUACCCCUAGCAUAUUUAAUCAUACAAACGAUCUGAUUUAUAUUAUUUCGAAAUUAAUCUAUUUCUAUUAUGU
rnacentral:lncRNA from 1 species